rnacentral:rRNA from 1 species
GAUGAACGCUGGCGGCGUGCCUAAUACAUGCAAGUCGAGCGAACAGACGGGGAGCUUGCUCCUCUGACGUUAGCGGCGGACGGGUGAGUAACACGUGGAUAACCUACCUAUAAGACUGGGAUAACUUCGGGAAACCGGAGCUAAUACCGGAUAAUAUAUUGAACCGCAUGGUUCAAUAGUGAAAGACGGUUUUGCUGUCACUUAUAGAUGGAUCCGCGCCGCAUUAGCUAGGUGGUAAGGUAACGGCUUACCAAGGCAACGAUGCGUAGCCGACCUGAGAGGGUGAUCGGCCACACUGGAACUGAGCCACGGUCCAGACUCCUACGGGAGGCAGCAGUAGGGAAUCUUCCGCAAUGGGCGAAAGCCUGACGGAGCAACGCCGCGUGAGUUAUGAAGGUCUUCGGAUCGUAAAACUCUGUUAUUAGUGAAGAACAAAUGUGUAAGUAACUAUGCACGUCUUGACGGUACCUAAUCAGAAAGCCACGGCUAACUACGUG